rnacentral:rRNA from 1 species
UACGUAGGGCGCAAGCGUUGUCCGGAAUUAUUGGGCGUAAAGAGCUCGUAGGCGGCUUGUCACGUCGGGUGUGAAAGCCCGGGGCUUAACCCCGGGUCUGCAUUCGAUACGGGCUGGCUAGAGUGUGGUAGGGGAGAUCGGAAUUCCUGGUGUAGCGGUGAAAUGCGCAGAUAUCUGGAGGAACACCGGUGGCGAAGGCGGCAUCCUGGACCGAGAUUGACGCUGAUGCGCGAAAGCCAGGGGAGCAAACGGG